AUGAUCGAUUGCGCUGAAAAACGAUAGCGCUCGGGAAGAAAAUUAUCAGGAAAAUAAAUUAUAUCCAACCGGGGUCUUAAUAAUCGUUCCUCACGGAGAUUCCUUCUGAGGAUCGCAGCCUCUACGUCCACAGGCUCUCGUAGAAAAGGACAUGCCAUUUCUAACACUUCCUUCUGUCGGAGAGCUGCCUUCAGCCUUAUAGACAACAAACUCAGAGUAGGUCUAACCACCUCCCGAGCAGGUUAGACCCACGGCGUAUGUUGCCGCAGCAACUAACUCUCGGUUGCGCUGAACCUGCUACCUGAAACGGAAAACCCAGAGUUUCCACUAACUCAGAGCGAACAAACUCGGGGUUGCCUCAAAACCAGCUACCUGAAACAGGGCUCAGGUGAUCAGCGUUGGGUUAAUCAACUCUGAGUAUGUUCACUCUGGGUUGAGGGCGUGCCUGUUGACUAUUAAGAGCCAUCAUCAAUGGAUCUCUGAUAAUAUGAUCAAACAUGGACCAAAAGCGUAGAUCCACUUACUUUCUCCCACGGAAUUGGAAAUUCUAAUGAACGCGUAGGCCGAGCAGUUACCCAGAGAGAGCUUGGCCUGAAAUAGCUGAACAAGUCAAUGCGUGAGUAAAAUAAAUUAGUAAAAUAAAAUAAAAUAAGAGGAAAGUUUAAUAUCUUCCACUUAUUCAAUAUGUAAAUUGUGUGUAUGUGUGUGUGUCAAUUUACGCAACCCCGAGUUGCCCCAAGAGGACUUGGCAGCAAAUGAAGAUGAAGUACAAAAAUAUAGUUCAAACAGCAAAUCGAAAAAAAGCAGAGGCCCGGAAGAGUGGAGGGGGUCCACCUCUGCAGCCCUCACAGAGGCUGAGGAGAUGGCCCUCAGACAACAGAGUAUGCGUCCUGUGGCUGAGGGCAUCCCUGGGGGGAGCUCCUCUGAUCCCCCCCCACCCCCCAGGAUAGAAGUGCCUUUAUAAGAGUUACUGAUGGCGUCAUCGCCCUACUUGAACCAGAUGCCCUCACCAACCUCCAUGCAAUUGUAACAAUUCAAAAUAUGCAAAAGGAUGCUUUGGAGAUCCACAUUUUGGAACAUAAGUUAAAGGUGAGUGAGGUGCAAACUGGGAUACUGUUCCCUGCUCUAAAAACAUACCCGAUAUGAAUGACUUUUUUUGUGCUUUCAGGAAACAAAGAAAUCCUCAUAAAAAGUAGAUUGUCUUUAUUAGAACACGGGCUGUGGUGGGACAAGUUAUUUUGUUGAACAGUUUACUCAAAGGGUUUUACUUCAGUGAACAAUGCAGACGAUUAUGCUGAGCAUGUGCAUGUAGAGAAGAACAGCAUCUGGUUAAAAGCAGUACCAGGGUCCUUUCUGCCUUGCAUUCUUAAAAUUAGUUUCUUGACUUACAGCAGUUAUAGGUCCGUGGUUAGUCAGCUACUCUGAUCAUGGGAAAGCCACAACGUUAAAGUGACUGUAGUAGCCUACAGAGCGGGUGGGAUGCACGGGGCGGAUCAUUCUGCACAUGCGUUAAUUGCGUAAAAAAACCCAACUUAAACUUAAAGCAUGCCCCCAGUGCGUUUGACAGUUAACAUGGGGACUGAGAAGGUGGUCUAAAUAAAUGAUAGA